GACGAACGCUGGCGGCGUGCUUAACACAUGCAAGUCGAACGGGGCGAAGUGAUAGCUUGCUAUUAUGGAGCCUAGUGGCAAACGGGUGAGUAACGCGUAGGCAACCUGCCCUUCAGAUGGGGACAACACCUCGAAAGGGGUGCUAAUACCGAAUGACGUUUCCUAGUCGCAUGACCUGGAAACCAAAGGCGGGCAACCGGUCACUGAAGGAUGGGCCUGCGUCUGAUUAGCUAGUUGGUGGGGUAACGGCCCGACCAAGGCGACGAUCAGUAGCCGGUCUGAGAGGAUGAACGGCCACAUUGGGACCUGAGACACGGCCCAAACUCCUACGGGAGGCAGCAGUGGGGAAUAUUGCACAAUGGGGGAAACCCUGAUGCAGCGACG
rnacentral:rRNA from 1 species